rnacentral:rRNA from 1 species
AGUGAUAGCCGUGGUAAGGCCCAAGCGCAUAUAAGAGAACUUGAGGAAGAAGUGAAGCUCCUCAAGAACCUUUCGCACCCCAAUAUUGUGAGGUACCUCGGGACUGUCCGUGAGGAAGACACACUGAAUAUCCUGCUGGAGUUUGUUCCUGGAGGGUCUAUCCAGUCGCUUCUUGGAAAACUCGGUUCAUUCCCGGAGGCAGUCAUUAGGAAGUAUACUAGGCAGAUUUUGCAAGGGUUGGAAUAUCUGCAUAGCAAUGCAAUAAUACAUAGAGACAUUAAGGGUGCAAACAUUCUUGUUGAUAACAGAGGCUGCAUUAAGCUUGCCGAUUUUGGGGCAUCUAAGCAAGUUGCCAAGUUGUGUGAGUUUGGUUCCAAGCAGGCUUAUGGUAAAGUUCUCUGCAGGUAUUUGCAU